rnacentral:sRNA from 1 species
AAUGAUCCACUUCCUCCUCAGGGAAUAAAGGCUCAGGGACCGGCAGUUCUACUCUGGAGCCCACCAGCCUCUCAGAGCCUCCGGUGACUGGCCUGUGUCUCCCCCUGGAUGGACAUGUGGACGGCGCUGCUCAUCCUGCAAGCCUUGUUGCUACCCUCCCUGGCUGAUGGUGCCACCCCUGCCCUGCGCUUCGUAGCCGUGGGUGACUGGGGAGGGGUCCCCAAUGCCCCAUUCCACACGGCCCGGGAAAUGGCCAAUGCCAAGGAGAUCGCUCGGACUGUGCAGAUCCUGGGUGCAGACUUCAUCCUGUCUCUAGGGGACAAUUUUUACUUCACUGGUGUGCAAGAUGUCAAUGACAAGAGGUUCCAGGUCUGUGCCCAACAGAGUGGGGCAGGAGGUGGGGGCAGGCAGUGGGGAGAAGCCGCCUUACCUAGUGACCUUCCUUUGGAGAGGGCAGAGGGAAGGUGAUGGGGCACCUUUGGGCGCCGGGAGCAUUCAGUGUCUCCCUUAUCCUGACUUGGUGGGAGGAUCAGCGUAGCCACUGACCCCAGGGAAGAGGCCUGCCCUAUCUGUUUGCUACAGGA